GAUGAACGCUGACAGAAUGCUUAACACAUGCAAGUCCACUUGAAUUUGGGUUUUUAACUUAGGUUUGGGUGGCGGACGGGUGAGUAACGCGUAAAGAACUUGCCUCACAGCUAGGGACAACAUUUGGAAACGAAUGCUAAUACCUAAUAUUAUGAUAAUAGGGCAUCCUAUAAUUAUGAAAGCUAUAAGCGCUGUGAGAGAGCUUUGCGUCCCAUUAGCUAGUUGGAGAGGUAACGGCUCACCAAGGCGAUGAUGGGUAGCCGGUCUGAGAGGGUGAUCGGCCACAAGGGGACUGAGACACGGCCCGUACUCCUACGGGAGGCAGCAGUGGGGAAUAUUGGACAAUGGACCGAGAGUCUGAUCCAGCAAUUCUGUGUGCACGAUGAAGUUUUUCGGAAUGUAAAGUGCUUUCAGUUGGGAAGAAACAAAUGACGGCACCAACAGAAGAAGUGACGGCUAAAUACGUG
rnacentral:rRNA from 1 species